rnacentral:rRNA from 1 species
GAUGAACGCUGGCGGCGUGCCUAAUACAUGCAAGUCGAGCGAACAGACGAGGAGCUUGCUCCUCUGACGUUAGCGGCGGACGGGUGAGUAACACGUGGAUAACCUACCUAUAAGACUGGGAUAACUUCGGGAAACCGGAGCUAAUACCGGAUAAUAUAUUGAACCGCAUGGUUCAAUAGUGAAAGACGGUUUUGCUGUCACUUAUAGAUGGAUCCGCGCCGCAUUAGCUAGUUGGUAAGGUAACGGCUUACCAAGGCAACGAUGCGUAGCCGACCUGAGAGGGUGAUCGGCCGCACUGGAACUGAGACACGGUCCAGACUCCUACGGGAGGCAGCAGUAGGGAAUCUUCCGCAAUGGGCGAAAGCUUGACGGAGCAACGCCGCGUGAGUGAUGAAGGUCUUCGGAUCGUAAAACUCUGUUAUUAGGGAAGAACAAAUGUGUAAGUAACUAUGCACGUCUUGACGGUACCUAAUCAGAGAGCCACGGCUAACUACGUG